CCUCCACCCCGCGGUUGGCGGCGGGUUUCUCCCCUUCCAUCCCUCGUCCACCCUUCUGUCCGUCCUGUCCGUCCUCCUGUGCGUGCAGGUGGGAGAGUGCCUUUCCCAAAAGGUCACCCGUCUCCCAGCUGCCUUCGAAAGUAGCGUGUAGUUGAAAAGAAAUAUUACCCCGCUUUAUUAAAUCAUCUCUCUCCGGGGGCGUGCUCCAAAGCCUCUUGAAGUCCACGGGAGUCUCUGAAUAGUUCGAGACACGUCGUGGGGAAAUGCAUGCUUUGCCGUGUUGGAAGGGAGACCGCGGUGCCAAGUGACAGCCGAGCAAGGCAGAGGGAAGGCAGAGGAGCGGGCAACCCACGGAAAUGGGCGACCGCAUGAUGCUGUGAAGAAGGGACACGACGCCUGGCAGGAGGCAGGGUGCAGCGUUAAAAGGGCUGUUUCCCUUUUACCCCUUCCCAACCUAGCAAACAACCCGAGAGUCCCUGAUUGCAGCGGGCUAAAACAUUUCUAAACCCGGCCACUGUCAUUAAUAUUAGAAUGCUUUUAGCAGAACAUGGCCUCGCUUCAAAAACAGGAAGGCUCCACGCGUUUUUGUCCUUAAUCCAUCAUGUAUCAGCACUGAAACCUCCAGCCCGGCACAUGGCAGUGGAGUGUGAGGGUCAGAAGUUCACAACAGUUUAAAUCUGAAUUAUUUAGCAAGCACACACAUGAUACACUCUUCCGAUUUCUACGCAGCUUUUUUUUUUCUUCCCCCCCCCCCUGUUCAUUUCCUUCCCUCUAAACACGAGAGCCCCGUUCGCUGUUAUUUGCCCUGGCGCGGUGUUAUUUGCCCAGCAUAUCCAGUUGACCCAGAAUCCGACAAAGCCGAGGAGAAGAAGUCUCGAUGGGACUGUUGACCUAACAAGUAGCAUGUCAGUCUCCCGGUGGCAUUUGAAUGUUCUCGCAGCGAACGCUUUGAGACAGGAGAGAGCAUAAAGCCGAGUUUCUUUGGAAUCCUUAAUUAGACACAGUGAUUUUGGAGGACUGGUUUCUGCUGCUAUCCUCUAGUGCCUGGUACUUUGUUUUGCGACCUUGAGGUUAAGGGUACCAACCAGCCCUGUUUAUUUUUAAUAAAAUCUUACAGUUAUAUGA